UAAGGUGGUUAUUGCGUCGGGGCUCACCUCUUCCCUUUCCGAACAGAGAAGUUAAGCCCGACUGCGCCAAUGGUACUGCAUUACUGUGGGAGAGUAGGUCGCCGCCUUCU
rfam:Flavobacterium indicum GPTSA100-9 complete genome